AUUGAACGCUGGCGGCAUGCCUUACACAUGCAAGUCGAACGGUAACGCGGGGCAACCUGGCGACGAGUGGCGAACGGGUGAGUAACACAUCGGAACGUGCCCAGUAGUGGGGGAUAGCCCGGCGAAAGCCGGAUUAAUACCGCAUACGACCUACGGGUGAAAGCAGGGGAUCGCAAGACCUUGCGCUAUUGGAGCGGCCGAUGUCAGAUUAGGUAGUUGGUGGGGUAAAAGCUCACCAAGCCGACGAUCUGUAGCUGGUCUGAGAGGACGACCAGCCACACUGGGACUGAGACACGGCCCAGACUCCUACGGGUGGCAG
rnacentral:rRNA from 1 species